GAGGCGGGAGGCGGGACUGGAGACGGGGCCGGGCCUGUCCCUCCGGAUGCGGGGGGCGCUGCCCUGUUCAGCCGCAGGGCUCUCCCUGCCUCCUCCUCCGGCCACCCAGGCCGGAAGCACCCCGGCCCCUCCUCAGGGACUCUCCCUGUCAGUGAGAUCAACCCUCCGGAGCUGCUGUGUCUUCACGGAGCCGCAGACCCGGGCGGGGAGGCGGGGCCUUCGGCUGCCGUGGGGUGUGGGGGGCCCUGCCCUGGCCGGGGUGUGCCGCCGGAGCUGCUCCCACCCGCUUCCCCGCUUCACCCCAGCGCCUCUGUGGAUGCCCUUUGACCGCGACCCCUCCCGUGCGGCGGAAGUGAGUUGCUCCCGCGAGCUGUUUGGGCGUUUUCCACACCUGCCCAUCAGUUACGCCUCUAGGGAGCUAAUGUGUAGGUUCCCGCCGAAUUUCCUCCCUUACUUUUCCAGACGCGCCUGCUUGGCACAGUCUGCCCUGCGCCCCGUGCUGUGGGGUCAGAGGUCACUGCCUUCUGCGGCUCCCCUGGCAGCCCCAAGACCGUCGGUCACAGGUGCAGCUUCUGCCCCCGAUCCACAAAACGGGCGUUAAUCUCAGGCAGCACAGCCACAAGCCAGAGCUGUUCUUCUGGUGAUACCCUGUGUCCUGGUGAUAAGGCGUGUGAGCUGCCCCCUGCUCCUAGUUUCAGCUCCUUGGAGGCGCCCCCCAGCCGUUUGUGUCUCUGUCUUGCCGCCGCCACACUCAUCUGCGCUGCUCGCACAGACGAGAUUCGUCAUCAGUGUCGAUGGACGGCCUCUCGGUGGAGCCGUGCAGACAGCGUGGCCCUGCCUGUCUGAUAUCUGUGCUCCUGUUACAGCAAACUGUUCUAGUUCCUGCGAGAAAGUCGCCACCAGCGCACACAGCCACGCCUCGCUGUGUGUCUGGAGCUGGUCUCUGGGUUGCCCACACUCCACAACUGCAGGCUGGCUCCAGGCGGCGCUUUCUCCGUGCAGGCACCAGCAUGACUGCGGCUGUCUUCGUCUUCACACGGGCGCUCUCCCUCCGCGUGUCCCCAGCAUGACUGCGGCUGUCUUCGUCUUCACACGGGCGCUCUCCCUCCGCGUGUCCCCAGCAUGACUGCGGCUGUCUUCGUCUUCACACGGGCGCGCUCCCUCCGCGUGUCCCCAGCAUGACCGCGGCUGUCUUCGUCUUCACACGGGCGCUCUCCCUCCCGUGUGGGUGUGCAGAGUCCUUCUUCCUAACAGCACGCCAGUCAUAUUGCAUUAGGGCCGCCCAAAUGCCCUCCGCUCGCUUACCUCUGUAAAGACCCUAUUUCCAAAUAAGGUCAUGUUCCCAGGGCUGGGACUCCAGUGUGUCUUUUUGGGGGAGGGUACGCAGCUCAACCCUGGGACCUGGUGCCUCCAAGUCAGCUCAGUGACUGGGCGGGCGCUGCCUGGCCACGGCAACCCCCACACACCUUUGGCGUCUGUUCCCCCUGCAUUCUGCCCCCGCAUAGCCCUGCCUGGGGAGUUCCUUCUACACAGAUGCCUGAGAUGAGACUAGUGUGGGUUAAAAUCGCUUCAGGUAUGGGAAUCCCCCAGGGCUUGAGGCUCCUUCUAGUCCACCUGCCCCAGGUCACCUGCCCAACAUGCUUCCGAUCCCAUUGGGGGGCGACUUUCUGAGAGAUCUGUCUGUGGGGGAUGCCAGUGAAACCAUUUAAGACAUGAGACACUAAACCAGCCUUGUGACCAUGCCAUUUGGGGCCACUGUUGCUCCUCUGGGACCUGCUUUUGACGCGUCCAGUGUGGAAGCCGGACACCAGCCUCGCGCUCGGUUAUUCAGCUCAGCGGUGGGCAGCGUGCCUCCUGAGUGGUGGGUGGGGCAGGUCUCAUUUUCAUGACCAUCUCUGGAUGUAGCAGGGCUUUCUGGAUAUGAGCCCCAGCCUGUCCCAGUCUGCCCAGAUGCAGCAUUGUAUGCUGAGCUGCGGAGGCCCUGAAUGACACUCAGCUGACUUUCCUAAAUGUUCGAUGAGCUUUAUAGCUUGAGCUGAGCAUUUCCCAAAGGCAUAGUUGGAAGCAGAAUGUCUGCCUGCUGACUAAGGACAGGAGCGUGUGGGAGGAAGAGGACCUGCCCCUUCAGAAUGCGUUCUGUCAUCACGCUGUUGCUGGUCUUCAAGUGCCCAGGUCUGCAAAGAAUCAAGCCCAUGUAGCUUCUCAGAGUAUUGAAACAAACGUGGUCCGAUCAUUUAUUCCUUUGCCUCAACUAUGACAAGUUCAAAGGCCUUUCUGUGUGUGAGCCGCUGGGAUCCCUAAGCAGCACUGACGGCCCUUGCUGACGGCCAGCAGCCCCGGGAUGUGCCUUUGCAGCCCUCAGACCUCGAUGGACACCAUAAACUCGGAGCAGGAGCUUGUGGGUGCUGGUGCCAACUGUGGAGCACAUCCCGGAACAUGUUCUCUGCUGGAGUCAGGACUCCCUCUAGGAGCAAGACACCGGCUCCACCUCUCCACAGGCCACACCAUCAACAUGAAGAAGAGGGCCUCCUGCCAGCAUAAAUGACUGAGCCUAAACCUUCACAGAAAGCAGAGGCAGUUGGAGAGCCCGAGAGAACACCUGAGACCCCUGAGUGGAAGGAACCCCAUUGCCGAGUUCCGUGAGGCCCCUGGGAGGAGGGAACCCCAUUGCCAAGUUCCGUGAGGCCCCUGGACUCAGCAGUGGCUUCACAGAUGGCCUCACGCAUCCUCCAAACAGCAGCACCGUGGAGCCCAUGUGCUGGUGGGAGGCAGAUUCUUGGCCCUGCAGAGCAGCUUCCUGAGUGUGGACAGCAAGCCAGGAGGCCUGGGGGAAUGCCGUCCUCAGGGAUCUGUGUAGCAAGACGAUGUUCCGGGCAGAGGAGUCUUCCACACGCUUUCCUCAGAUGCAGUGGGGUGGGCACGGGAGGUUCUAGAUCAUGAUUAAUGACUAUACCGCCGCGUCCUCUAGCAUGCUUAGCUGGGCCAUCUCCCAAGGCUCUUUGCCAUAGUAAUAAUCAACAAGAAAUUG